rnacentral:rRNA from 1 species
AGUCUGGUGCCAGCAGCCGCGGUAAUUCCAGCUCUGAUAGUAUAUAUUAAAGUUGUUGCAGUUAAAAAGCUCGUAGUUGAAACUUGGGUGCGUAGGGGCGGUCUCUUUUAGAGUACUACCCUGAAACAUCUUUCUUUGGUGUAAACUUUCUAUUUAUUUAGGAAGUGUAAACCAAACAUUUACUUUGAAAAAAUUAGAGUGUUCAAAGCAGGCCUUUGCUCGAAUAUAUUAGCAUGGAAUAAUAGAAUAGGACGUAUGGUUCUAUUUUGUUGGUUUCUAGGACCGUCGUAAUGAUUAAUAGGGACGGUCGGGGGCAUCAGUAUUCAGUUGUCAGAGGUGAAAUUCUUGGAUUUACUGAAGACUAACUACUGCGAAAGCAUUUGCCAAGGACGUUUUCAUUAAUCAAGAACGAAAGUUAGGGGAUCGAAGACGAUCAGAUACCGUCGUAGUCUUAACCGUAAACUAUGCCGACUAGGGAUCGGAGGGCGUUAUAAUAACCUCUCCGGCACCUUACGAGAAAUCAAAGUUUUUGGGUUCUGGGGGGAGUAUGGUUGCAAGGCUGAAACUUAAAGGAAUUGACGGAAGGGCACCACCAGGAGUGGAGCCUGCGGCUUAAUUUGACUCAACACGGGGAAACUCACCAGGUCCAGACACAAUAAGGAUUGACAGAUUGAGAGCUCUUUCAUGAUUUUGUGGGUGGUGGUGCAUGGCCGUUCUUAGUUGGUGGAGUGAUUUGUCUGCUUAAUUGCGAUAACGAACGAGACCUUAACCUGCUAAAUAGCUGUAACAAUAGAUUAUUGUUUUGACAGCUUCUUAGAGGGACUAUCGAUUUUCAAGUCGAUGGAAGUUUGAGGCAAUAACAGGUCUGUGAUGCCCUUAGACGUUCUGGGCCGCACGCGCGCUACACUGACGGAGCCAGCGAGUCUAACCUGUGCCGAGAGGUAUGGGUAAUCUUGUGAAACUCCGUCGUGCUGGGGAUAGAGCAUUGCAAUUAUUGCUCUUCAACGAGGAAUUCCUAGUAAGCGCAAGUCAUCAGCUUGCGUUGAUUACGUCCCUGCCCUUUGUACACACCGCCCGUCGCUACUACCGAUUGAAUGGCUUAGUGAGGCUUCCGGAUUGAUUAACUGGAGAGGGCAACUUUUCUGGUUGAACGAGAAGCUAGUCAAACUUGGUCAUUUAGAGGAAGUAAAAGUCGUAACAAGGUUUCCGUAGGUGAACCUGCGGAAGG